rnacentral:rRNA from 1 species
AUGAUUCAGACCUUGGUGAGUGGCGGACGGUGAGUAACACGUCGGUAACCUGCCCAGAAGUGGGGAUAACAUUUGGAAACAAGUGCUAAUACCGCAUAACAACUUAGAUCACAUGAUCUUUAGUUAAAAGAUUGGUUUUGCUAUCUCUUCUGGAUCGGACCCGCGGCGUAUUAGCUAGUUGGUGAGGUAAUAGCUCACCAAGGCGAUGAUACGUAGCCCGACCUGAGAGGGUAAUCGGCCACAUUGGGACUGAGACACGGCCCAAACUCC